rnacentral:rRNA from 1 species
UAAAUCCUACGGGGCGCAGCAGUGAGGAAUAUUGGUCAAUGGUCGGGAGACUGGACCAGCCAAGCCGCGUGAGGGAUGAAGGCACAGAGUAUCGUAAACCUCUUUUGUCAGGGAACAAAGGCGGGGACGCGUCCCCGGAUGAGUGUACCUGAAGAAAAAGCAUCGGCUAACUCCGUGCCAGCAGCCGCGGUAAUACGGAGGAUGCGAGCGUUAUCCGGAUUUAUUGGGUUUAAA